UUACAUCCCUUGAGCCGCGCUGGCCACCGAUGAGAUGCCGUCUUCUCCCACCACGCCACAAUGUCUCUCCUUCCGGUCUCCAUAACCGGCAUCUCCCUCUUCGCUGCCAUCUGGAAGCAGCGCCCUAGCGGUGGACCAGCGCAAUCGACUUUGUCGCCGGUCUCACCAUUGACGCCGCCGUCGACCGUCCUCUGCCUCGCCAUCGAUGACGCCGACGACAGUCAUGACUCAAGAAGGAGGCCUCGCUCGGCCUGGAGUUUGCGACACCUCAGACUCUGUAGGUGCGUGUCCUGGCUACUUUCUGCAGAGGUUUACCGGCCCGGAUUCCGCGAGAGGAGUUCUACUUGCGCAGGCAUCUCAUCGGUGGCCAGCGCGGGAGAGGAGUAGAAGAGAAGCGAUGUGUACCGUGCAGGCUGCUUCAAUACAUAUUGGGGACGAGCUCAUCAUCCGGGAAUCCCUGAAGUCUCGUUCACUUCACUAGCUGGUCGAGCUACUGCUUGGUUGUAAUUCAUCAAAUCGCUUCAGUAGUUCAUUGUGUGGUGAGCCAGAACUGAUUCUUGCUGAACUGAUCCUGUGGUAAGCUUCAGUAGUUCAUCCUGGAUGAGUAGUGCAAGUGCAGGUAGCCAUAUGAAGUAAGAAAGUGCCGUGUUCUUGUUCUAUUGAUGUCACUGAAGUGAUUGUAAUGCACAUAUGCACUCGAGAGAUGCUUGGUUUUCCAGGAUCUUUUUCUCUCGUAGUGUAGUGUAGAGAUGAGCAUAGUGUAGGUGUAGGUAACCAUGUGAACUGAAGUGAUUGAUCAAAAUUCUUCAUAGAGUAGAGUUCUGAUAGAAACGUAUGUGACAUCAAGGGUUUUCUAAAUGAAACCAUUUGUCCUGGUGCAUUUUCUAUUGUCAUAGCACUCUUCAUAUAUCAAAUAUUUUGUAAUUUUCACGAGCAUUAAAACUGCUUAUUAGGCAUAUUAUUAUUUGGCAACCAUGCAUUUAAAUUUCACCUCCAUCCUCUAUGAGCACAACAAGCUGCUCACGAAGGUGAUCAAGUACAAGUAUAAGUCUGCUUUGAUUUUUCCUAAGAAUACACAUAAGUCUGGAUUCAAGGUGUUUGUGCAUAGCCAUACAUGCAUGCAAUAGUAAAUACGUAUUGGUAAAUUCUCACAAGGAAUACAAUCUCGAGGUACUUACUAGUCAUAAUUCUAUAUAUACAGAUGAGAUUGUACUGUGCGCCGCAUCUGGCCUCUUUUGUUACCCCCUGACCGUCGCCCUACUGACAAGCAACAAGGUGAAGCCAUUCUGUCGAUUUCCCUGUUUGACAGCGCCUCAUGGCAUUGGCUAUUGUUUGGAAUGAGUUCUGUGACAUCAGCAACAAGUUCUAGACUAUGCUUCAGGUAGCUUGAGUUUUUUGGAGGGUUGCAUUUACAUUGUCAUUGUCAACCAUUUUACUUCCCUAUAUUUCACGUGAAGUUUAUGAUCAGGAGCUAAUGUGUUGAGUUUGCUGCUGCGACAGAAGAUCAGAAGAAACUUUAUGUGCACCACCUUUUUACUUGUUAUAGCCACCUUGUUACUGUGUAGACGUGUAACUGAUCUUGAAUGUAUGUAGACUUGUUGGAUCUAAACUGUAAUUAGACUUUUUCUGCUCUAUUACCGUGUAAACGUGUAACUGAUGUUCUGUAUAUUUGAUUGCAUUAU